AAAGGCAGUGGCGUAGCUAGGCGGAAGCUCGGAAGCCAAGGCUUCAACAUCGUUUUGUCAAAACAAAAAAAUCAUAAUAAAAAAAAUUUAAAAAAAAAACGAGCUAGAGGUAUGAGAGAGAGGGAGGAGACUCCGAGUGAGAGAAAGUGAAGGGAAAAAUAAAUGGGCACUGUGCGGUUAAAUAAACAAAAAGUUGUAGAAGUCAACGAGUCGAUAUCACUUCUCAGACUCUCGGCGUUCGUUCCCAUUACCAGCGCUUUAUUUCCCCUCUUUUUAUAGGAGAC
rnacentral:lncRNA from 1 species